UACAGAGGUCUCAAGCGUUGUUCGGAUUCAUUGGGCGUAAAGGGUGCGUAGGUGGCAAGGCAAGUCAGGUGUGAAAUCUCGGGGCUCAACCCCGAAACUGCACUUGAUACUGCCUGGCUCGAGUACUGGAGAGGAGAUUGGAAUUUACGGUGUAGCGGUGAAAUGCGUAGAUAUCGUAAGGAAGACCAGUGGCGAAGGCGGGUCUCUGGACAGUUCCUGACGCUGAGGCACGAAGGUCAGGGGAGCAAACGGG
rnacentral:rRNA from 1 species